GGAAAGCUGAGGAGUGCCACUGUCGCUGGCCUGGAUGCGCACAUCAAGCUGGCGCAGCAUCUCGUAGUCGAAGCUGCGCAGCGCGUAAAUAGCCCCGGUAGCCGGAUCCACAGAGACAUAGGUGGACACGGCGUCCCCGGAGCGGCCCACCUCGGCCUCUAGCAGGCGGGUCGCUCUGGGAAGCAACGCUCGUCCUGUUUCAGAAGAACAAAAUCACAGCGUGACGUUGAAACCUGGCACGAACCUGGGAGAACUUAACCAUCUGCCUGCAAAGGAUGGAGCUUAGGCUCUGCCAAAUUCCGGGCCAGGCGGGUUGUCAGGCUUGCCAGGCGCUAAGCCGCGCCCACAAAUAUCCCCCUCCCAUCCGUGAAGGCCAGGGACAGAGACAUCAACCGGAACAGGACGGAUUCUUAUUGAUUCUUACUGAAGGGCUUUAUUGAGCAGUCUAUGUAAAUACACAAGAAGGAAGAGAUGUAAAAACAAGAAGUAAUAAUAAAAAGGCAAUAGGUUUAAUAAGUGGA